UGAAUACGAGAUGCUACGGCGUCGAAGCAGUGUAUGUCAGACUUCCAAGAAAAGCUCGCAAUGUCAUAAAUAAAGAAUGCCUGUACCAUAACCGACACAGGUGGGUAGGUAGAGUAUACUAAGGGGCGCGAGAUAACUCUCUCUAAGGAACUCGGCAAAAUAACUCCGUAACUUCGGGAGAAGGAGUGCCUUCUUUAAGAAGGUUGCAAUAACAAGAUCCAAGCAACUGUUAUCAAAAACACAGGUCUCCGCUAAGUCGUAAGACGAUGUAUGGGGGCUGACGCCUGCCCAGUGCCAGAAGGUUAAAGAAGCUGGUUAGCAAUAGCGAAGCUGGUGACUGAAGCCCUGGUGAACGGCGGCCGUAACGAUAACGGUCCUAAGGUAGCGAAAUUCCUUGUCGGGUAAGUUCCGACCCGCACGAAAGGCGUAAUGAUUUGGAUACUGUCUCGGAGAGGGACUCGGUGAAAUAGACUUGUCUGUGAAGAUGCGGACUACCUGCACCAGGACAGAAAGACCCUAUGAAGCUUUACUGUAACCUGAAAUUGAAAUUGGACUUUAUUUGCGCAGUAUAGGUGGGAGGCGUUGAAAGUAAUCUUGCGGGAUUAGUGGAGCCAUCAGUGAGAUACCACUCCUAUAAUGUUAGAUUUCUAACUUUGGAUCAUGAUCUGGUCAAAGAACAGUUUCAGGCGGGCAGUUUGACUGGGGCGGUCGCCUCCCAAAUGGUAACGGAGGCGUACAAAGGUUUCCUCUGAACGGGUAGAAAUCGUAUCUAGAGUGUAAAGGCAUAAGGAAGCUUGACUGUGAGACCUACAAGUCGAGCAGGGACGAAAGUCGGUCUUAGUGAUCUGACGGUGCUGAGUGGAAAGGCCGUCACUCAACGGAUAAAAGUUACUCUAGGGAUAACAGGCUGAUCUCCCCCAAGAGUUCACAUCGACGGGGAGGUUUGGCACCUCGAUGUCGGCUCAUCGCAUCCUGGGGCGGUAGUACGUCCCAAGGGUUGGGCUGUUCGCCCAUGAAAGCGGUACGCGAGCUGGGUUCAGAACGUCGUGAGACAGUUCGGUCCAUAUCCGGUGUAGGCGUUAGAAUAUUGAGAGGAGCCUUCUCUAGUACGAGAGGACCGAGAAGGACAUACCUCUGGUGUACCAGUUAUCGUGCCAACGGUAAACGCUGGGUAGCUAUGUAUGGAGAGGAUAACCGCUGAAAGCAUCUAAGUGGGAAGCCCACCUCAAGAUGAGUAUUCUCA
rnacentral:rRNA from 1 species